rnacentral:rRNA from 1 species
UACGAAGGGGGCUAGCGUUGCUCGGAAUCACUGGGCGUAAAGCGCACGUAGGCGGGUCGUUAAGUCAGGGGUGAAAUCCUGGAGCUCAACUCCAGAACUGCCCUUGAUACUGGCGAUCUCGAGUUCGGGAGAGGUGAGUGGAACUGCGAGUGUAGAGGUGAAAUUCGUAGAUAUUCGCAAGAACACCAGUGGCGAAGGCGGCUCACUGGCCCGAUACUGACGCUGAGGUGCGAAAGCGUGGGUAGCAAACAGG